AAUUCGUGGACGAAUUCUCUCCAACCCGGGGAGUAUGAUGGAAACCAAGUAGAGGAUGCUCAAGCCCAUGAAGCCCAAGCCCAACAAGGGGCCCAAGCCCAACGAAUCACUAGGAGCAUGGCAAGAGCUUUGGGACAAGAGUAUCAAAAGAUGGCUCUUCUUAUUUCUUUUAUAGAGUAGGGGUGCGGAUGUAAUAAAU
rnacentral:lncRNA from 1 species